GCGCAGCAGGCGCGAAAACUUCACACUGUGCGAAAGCACGAUGAGGGAAUCCCAAGUGCUUGCACGUAAGUGUAAGCUGUUUCUCUGUCUAAAACGCAGAGAGAGUAAGGGCUGGGUAAGACGGGUGCCAGCCGCCGCGGUAAUACCUGCAGCUCAAGUGGUGACCGUUAUUAUUGGGCCUAAAACGUCCGUAGCCGGUUUAAUAAAUGCCUGGGUAAAUUGUGUAGCUUAACUAUACGAAUUCCGGGUAGACUGUUAAACUUGAGACCGGGAGAAGUUAGAGGUACUCCUGGGGUAGAGGUGAAAUUCUGUAAUCCUAGGGGGACCACCAGUGGCGAAGGCGUCUAACUAGAACGGGUCUGACGGUGAGGGACGAAGCCCUGGGGCGCAAACGGGAUUAGAUA
rnacentral:rRNA from 1 species